UACAGAGGAGCCAAGCGUUGUCCGGAUUGACUGGGCGUAAAGCGCACGCAGGCGGUCGGGCGCGUGGGGUGUGAAAUCUGGCCGCUUAACGGCCAGGCGCCAUCCCAUACGGCUCGACUGGAGUGAUGCAGAGGUCGAUGGAAUUGCCGGUGUAGUGGUGAAAUGCGUAGAGAUCGGCGGGAACACCCAGGGGGAAACCAGUCGACUGGGCAUCUACUGACGCUGAGGUGCGAGAGCGUGGGGAGCAAACAGG
rnacentral:rRNA from 1 species